rnacentral:rRNA from 1 species
UACGUAGGGGGCAAGCGUUGUCCGGAUUUAUUGGGCGUAAAGAGCGUGUAGGCGGUUUGGUAGGUCCGUUGUGAAAACUCGAGGCUCAACCUCGAGACGCCGAUGGAAACCAUCAGACUAGAGUCCGGAAGAGGAGAGUGGAAUUCCUGGUGUAGCGGUGGAAAUGCGCAGAUAUCAGGAAGAACACCCGUGGCUAAGGCGGCUCUCUAGUACGGUACUGACGCUGAGACGCGAAAGCGUGGGGAGCGAACAGG